rnacentral:rRNA from 1 species
UACGAAGGGAGCUAGCGUUGUUCGGAAUCACUGGGCGUAAAGCGCACGUAGGCGGAUGUGUCAGUCAGGGGUGAAAUCCCGGAGCUCAACUUCGGAACUGCCCUUGAUACAGCACGUCUUGAGUCCGGAAGAGGUGGGUGGAAUUCCUAGUGUAGAGGUGAAAUUCGUAGAUAUUAGGAAGAACACCGGUGGCGAAGGCGGCUAGCUGGUCCAUUACUGACGCUGAGGCGCGACAGCGUGGGGAGCAAACAGG